rnacentral:other from 1 species
CGUCCCCUGCGGCGUUUGCCCAGGUUCAAGAUUCUUUGAACCGAUAAUCAUCUGACCCCGGGUGCUUGCCCACAGGCCGCCAGUGUGCGCGUCCCACGCGGACGUACCUGAGGCGGCCGGCCGGCGCCCACCUAUUAAGGUAUGGGUUCAAGAUGCGAACCUGGGCAGUGCCGUCGGGGGACCC